rnacentral:rRNA from 1 species
AACUCGACCCCAGGUCAGGCGGG